rnacentral:rRNA from 1 species
AUUGAACGCUGGCGGCAGGCUUAACACAUGCAAGUCGAGCGGAUGAAGGGAGCUUGCUCCUGGAUUCAGCGGCGGACGGGUGAGUAAUGCCUAUGAAUCUGCCUGGUAGUGGGGGAUAACGUCCGGAAACGGGCGCUAAUACCGCCUACGUCCUGAGGGAGCAAGUGGGGGAUCUUCGGACCUCACGCUCUCAGAUGAGCCUAGGUCGGAUUAGCUAGUUGGUGGGGUAAAGGCCUUCCAAGGCGACGAUCCGUAACUGGUCUGAGAGGAUGGUCAGUCACAUUGGAACUGAGACACGGUCCAGACUCCUACGGGAGGCAGCAGUGGGGAAUAUUGGACAAUGGGCGAAAGCCUGAUCCAGCCAUGCCGAGUGUGUGAAGAAGGUCUUCGGAUUGUAAAGCACGUUAAGUUGGGAGGAAGGGCAGUAAGUUAAUACCUUGCUGUUUUGACGGUACCAACAGAAUAAGCACCGGCUAACUUCGUG